rnacentral:rRNA from 1 species
GACGAACGCUGGCGGCGUGCCUAAUACAUGCAAGUUGAGCGAUGAAGCUUGGUGCUUGCCCCAAUUUGAAGAGCAGCGAACGGGUGAGUAACGCGUGGGGAAUCUGCCUUUGAGCGGGGGACAACAUUUGGAAACGAAUGCUAAUACCGCAUAAUAACUUUAAACAUAAGUUUUAAGUUUGAAAGAUGCAAUUGCAUCACUCAAAGAUGAUCCCGCGUUGUAUUAGCUAGUUGGUGAGGUAAAGGCUCACCAAGGCGAUGAUACAUAGCCGACCUGAGAGGGUGAUCGGCCACAUUGGGACUGGGACACGGCCCAAACUCCUACGGGAGGCAGCAGUAGGGAAUCUUCGGCAAUGGACGAAAGUCUGACCGAGCAACGCCGCGUGAGUGAAGAAGGUUUUCGGAUCGUAAAACUCUGUUGGUAGAGAAGAACGUUGGUGAGAGUGGAAAGCUCAUCAAGUGACGGUAACUACCCAGAAAGGGACGGCUAACUACGUG